UGGGGAAUAUUGGACAAUGGGCGAAAGCCUGAUCCAGCCAUGCCGCGUGUGUGAAGAAGGUCUUCGGAUUGUAAAGCACUUUAAGUUGGGAGGAAGGGCAUUAACCUAAUACGUUAGUGUUUUGACGUUACCGACAGAAUAAGCACCGGCUAACUCUGUGCCAGCAGCCGCGGUAAUACAGAGGGUGCAAGCGUUAAUCGGAAUUACUGGGCGUAAAGCGCGCGUAGGUGGUUUGUUAAGUUGGAUGUGAAAUCCCCGGGCUCAACCUGGGAACUGCAUUCAAAACUGACUGACUAGAGUAUGGUAGAGGGUGGUGGAAUAUCCUGUGUAGCGGUGAAAUGCGUAGAUAUAGGAAGGAACACCAGUGGCGAAGGCGACCACCUGGACUAAUACUGACACUGAGGUGCGAAAGCGUGGGGAGCAAACA
rnacentral:rRNA from 1 species